rnacentral:lncRNA from 1 species
UCGCUGUAGUAAAGGGAGACUUCUUAUGAUUGAACCAAUAAAAGAAGAGGUCAUUGAACAUCCAGAAGAGAGCCUUGAACAUGAAGAAGAAGAUGCAGAAGAAGAGCCACAACCGACUGAAGUUACGGUACAUGCACUAGCCGACUACUCAAACCCGCAAACGAUGAAAGUUGGAGGCCUUCUCAAACAACAACCGAUCACUGUUCUCAUCGACACGGGCAGUACUAAUAACUUUCUAAAUAGUAAGGUUGCU